rnacentral:rRNA from 1 species
CCCUUAGAUGUUCUGGGCCGCACGCGCGCUACACUGAUGCAUUCAACGAGCCUAUCCUUGACCGACAGGUCCGGGUAAUCUUUGAAUCUGCAUCGUGACGGGGAUAGAUUAUUGCAAUUAUUAAUCUUCAACGUGGAAUGCCUAGUAGGCGCAAGUCAUCAGCUUGCGUCGAUUACGUCCCUGCCCUUUGUACACACCGCCCGUCGCUCCUACCGAUUGGGUGUGCUGGUGAAAUGUUCGGAUCGGCCGUUUGUCGCGGUUUCCGCGGCUCGUGGCUGAGAAGUUCAUUAAACCCUCCCACCUAGAGGAAGGAGAAGUCGUAACA